UUAUCUUGACGCAGUAUUCCUACAUAUUCAAGGAACAUGCUUAUGACAAUUUUGAGAAAAUAUUGUUGAUAGUAGAAAGAUAUAUAGAUGCAGGCGAUCAACCUAAUCACAAAAAUUAUGGCUAAAACUUGACAUCAGAAAAUUGCAAGAGAGGCUAACCAUGGCUGAAACGUAUUGAUCAGCUUGUUCCUUUGAUCUGAGUCUGAAACAGGGAUCAUUAUAUGAACUUUGCAGCAGUUAUGAUAAUAUGAUAGUACCACUGAGGCUCAUGAAGAUCAUCCCUUCCCAUCAUCUUAUCUUCAUGCUAAAAAAGCACAUUUUCUGUCAGCUAUAAUUAGUAUUCCCAAGCAUGUACCAUAAAAGGGAAGGAAGCCAUCUUCAGUUAGUUUAGAAUGUUCUCAUCGGGCUGUGGUUCUGAUGGUAAGCUCAGUAGUAAAAGUAGGACAUGUAGGUUGCAUUGUCGUUGCUGAUGAUCAAUCAAAAAACAAAAAGAUAGAACAACACCGUUUUAUGAUAAUGCAAAGAACAAAAAUAUGGAUUUAAAGUUAUCGAGCACUGCUAGGAAAAUAUUGUCUUGAAGAACGGAAGGUAAGAAAGCAAUAAAGCAAGCGUUGAACCUGUAAAAAUAUCCUCCAAGCUUUGCCAAAUUAGAAUAAAGCUGAUUUUCCUUUUUGAGAGUUUGAUAGCAAUCUGCAAUGCAUCAAAAAAGGAUUAGACUUGACAAGAAAAGAAAUCUCUGCUCCUUUUAUAGUCGAAGAACAGGCUUGCAUCGACAAAAAUACAAAAAACAGAGAAUUUGCUAGUGUAAGGAACUUGCUAUGAUACACUGCCGGUGUAAGGAAUUUGCAGUGAUACACUGAAUCUCCACCGGCAGAACAAAGAAGCGCCAAUCUGCGGAGAUCGUACAGCCUGAGACAUAAAAAUGGAAGGAAUUCGUUAGGGCGGAAACAUUAAUAAAAAAAAAAACUUCAUCUGCACUGACCAUGCAAGACGUAAACUGAAACAGCUAGACAGUUUCAACAUUCUAGAGAAUCAGAAAAAGCUCUAAGAUUAUGACACUAAACAAACGACGGCCAAUAGAUUCUCACCACCCUUGCAA
rnacentral:lncRNA from 1 species